GUCUGAGUGGUGUGGUGGUUUGAGCACUGGACUGCAACUCCUGAGACUAGGGUUCAAGUCCCUGCUCUGCCA
rnacentral:tRNA from 1 species